AGUCGAGCGGGANUAAAUUUGUAGUAAUACAAGUUUGAUUCAGCGGCGCACGGGUGCGUAACACGUGAACAAUCUGCCGAGAAGUGGGGGAUAGCUUGCCGAAAGGCAAAUUAAUACCGCAUAUGGCCAUUCUUCUAUUGGAGAAAAAGCCAAAGUCGCAAGACGCUUCUUGAUGAGUUCGCGGCCUAUCAGCUAGAUGGCGGGGUAACGGCCCACCAUGGCUAUGACGGGUAGCUGGUCUGAGAGGACGACCAGCCACACUGGAACUGAGACACGGUCCAGACACCUACGGGUGGCAGCAGUCGAGAAUUUUUCACAAUGGGGGAAACCCUGAUGGAGCGACGCCGCGUGGAGGAUGAAGGCCUUCGGGUCGUAAACUCCUGUCAUGCGGGAACAAGAAAGUGAUAGUACCGCAAGAGGAAGAGACGGCUAACUCUGUGCCAGCAGCCGCGGUAAUACAGAGGUCUCAAGCGUUGUUCGGAUUCAUUGGGCGUAAAGGGUGCGUAGGUGGUCAUGUAAGUCUAAUGUGAAAUCUCGGGGCUCAACCCCGAAAUUGCAUCGGAUACUGCGUGACUAGAGGACUGUAGAGGAGAUUGGAAUUCACGGUGUAGCAGUGAAAUGCGUANAUAUCGUGAGGAAGACCAGUUGCGAANGCGAAUCUCUGGGCAGUUCCUGACACUGANGCACGAAGGCCAGGGGAGCAAACGGGAUUAGAUACCCCNGUAGUCCUGGCAGUAAACGGUGCACGUUUGGUGNGGGCGGNUUCAGACCCCGUCCGUGCCNGANCUAACGCGUUAAACGUGCCGCCUGGGAAGUACGGUCGCAAGAUUAAAACUNAAAGAAAUUGACGGGGGCCCGCAC
rnacentral:rRNA from 1 species